rnacentral:RNase_P_RNA from 1 species
UGCAACGAAAGUUAUCUGUCGCUUGUACUUAAUGUAUAAGAGGAAAGUCCGUGCAACAAAGAGCAUCAUACUGUCUAACGGACAGGCAGGGAUAUUAAUAUCUUUGACAGAAAGUGCAACAGAAAAUAACCGCCGUCUUUUAUGUAUAUGUAUUAUGUGAUAUGUAUUAUGUAAAAUCCGGUAAGGGUGAAAACGCAGGGUAAGAGCCUACGGCAACCGUUAGUGAUAACGGUUUGAGUGUAAACCUUAUGAGUUGAAAGUCCAAAUAUAUCGGCAUGCAGUGAUUGUUUGUCAUUGCAAAGUGUCUGCUCGGCACUGCCGAGGGGUAGGACGAUAGAGUCUUAUCGCAAGGUAAGACGUAGAUUAAUGACAGAUGAAAAACAGAACACGGCUUACGAAACGUUGCAUUCC